rnacentral:tRNA from 1 species
GGUCCAAUAGUGUAGAGGUUAUCACACAGGAUUCUGAAAAAGGAAUUCCUGUGACCCAGGUUCGAGUCCUGGUUGGACCU